CGGGACACGUGGUAUCCUGUCUGAAUAUGGGGGGACCAUCCUCCAAGGCUAAAUACUCCUGACUGACCGAUAGUGAACCAGUACCGUGAGGGAAAGGCGAAAAGAACCCCGGCGAGGGGAGUGAAAAAGAACCUGAAACCGUGUACGUACAAGCAGUGGGAGCACGCUUAGGCGUGUGACUGCGUACCUUUUGUAUAAUGGGUCAGCGACUUAUAUUCUGUAGCAAGGUUAACCGAAUAGGGGAGCCGAAGGGAAACCGAGUCUUAACUGGGCGUUAAGUUGCAGGGUAUAGACCCGAAACCCGGUGAUCUAGCCAUGGGCAGGUUGAAGGUUGGGUAACACUAACUGGAGGACCGAACCGACUAAUGUUGAAAAAUUAGCGGAUGACUUGUGGCUGGGGGUGAAAGGCCAAUCAAACCGGGAGAUAGCUGGUUCUCCCCGAAAGCUAUUUAGGUAGCGCCUCGUGAAUUCAUCUCCGGGGGUAGAGCACUGUUUCGGCAAGGGGGUCAUCCCGACUUACCAACCCGAUGCAAACUGCGAAUACCGGAGAAUGUUAUCACGGGAGACACACGGCGGGUGCUAACGUCCGUCGUGAAGAGGGAAACAACCCAGACCGCCAGCUAAGGUCCCAAAGUCAUGGUUAAGUGGGAAACGAUGUGGGAAGGCCCAGACAGCCAGGAUGUUGGCUUAGAAGCAGCCAUCAUUUAAAGAAAGCGUAAUAGCUCACUGGUCGAGUCGGCCUGCGCGGAAGAUGUAACGGGGCUAAACCAUGCACCGAAGCUGCGGCAGCGACACUAUGUGUUGUUGGGUAGGGGAGCGUUCUGUAAGCCUGUGAAGGUGUACUGUGAGGUAUGCUGGAGGUAUCAGAAGUGCGAAUGCUGACAUAAGUAACGAUAAAGCGGGUGAAAAGCCCGCUCGCCGGAAGACCAAGGGUUCCUGUCCAACGUUAAUCGGGGCAGGGUGAGUCGACCCCUAAGGCGAGGCCGAAAGGCGUAGUCGAUGGGAAACAGGUUAAUAUUCCUGUACUUGGUGUUACUGCGAAGGGGGGACGGAGAAGGCUAUGUUGGCCGGGCGACGGUUGUCCCGGUUUAAGCGUGUAGGCUGGUUUUCCAGGCAAAUCCGGAAAAUCAAGGCUGAGGCGUGAUGACGAGGCACUACGGUGCUGAAGCAACAAAUGCCCUGCUUCCAGGAAAAGCCUCUAAGCAUCAGGUAACAUCAAAUCGUACCCCAAACCGACACAGGUGGUCAGGUAGAGAAUACCAAGGCGCUUGAGAGAACUCGGGUGAAGGAACUAGGCAAAAUGGUGCCGUAACUUCGGGAGAAGGCACGCUGAUAUGUAGGUGAAGUCCCUCGCGGAUGGAGCUGAAAUCAGUCGAAGAUACCAGCUGGCUGCAACUGUUUAUUAAAAACACAGCACUGUGCAAACACGAAAGUGGACGUAUACGGUGUGACGCCUGCCCGGUGCCGGAAGGUUAAUUGAUGGGGUCAGCGCAAGCGAAGCUCUUGAUCGAAGCCCCGGUAAACGGCGGCCGUAACUAUAACGGUCCUAAGGUAGCGAAAUUCCUUGUCGGGUAAGUUCCGACCUGCACGAAUGGCGUAAUGAUGGCCAGGCUGUCUCCACCCGAGACUCAGUGAAAUUGAACUCGCUGUGAAGAUGCAGUGUACCCGCGGCAAGACGGAAAGACCCCGUGAACCUUUACUAUAGCUUGACACUGAACAUUGAGCCUUGAUGUGUAGGAUAGGUGGGAGGCUUUGAAGUGUGGACGCCAGUCUGCAUGGAGCCGACCUUGAAAUACCACCCUUUAAUGUUUGAUGUUCUAACGUGGACCCGUAAUCCGGGUUGCGGACAGUGUCUGGUGGGUAGUUUGACUGGGGCGGUCUCCUCCUAAAGAGUAACGGAGGAGCACGAAGGUUGGCUAAUCCUGGUCGGACAUCAGGAGGUUAGUGCAAUGGCAUAAGCCAGCUUGACUGCGAGCGUGACGGCGCGAGCAGGUGCGAAAGCAGGUCAUAGUGAUCCGGUGGUUCUGAAUGGAAGGGCCAUCGCUCAACGGAUAAAAGGUACUCCGGGGAUAACAGGCUGAUACCGCCCAAGAGUUCAUAUCGACGGCGGUGUUUGGCACCUCGAUGUCGGCUCAUCACAUCCUGGGGCUGAAGUAGGUCCCAAGGGUAUGGCUGUUCGCCAUUUAAAGUGGUACGCGAGCUGGGUUUAGAACGUCGUGAGACAGUUCGGUCCCUAUCUGCCGUGGGCGCUGGAGAACUGAGGGGGGCUGCUCCUAGUACGAGAGGACC
rnacentral:rRNA from 1 species